rnacentral:rRNA from 1 species
GACGAACGCUGGCGGCGGGCUUAACACAUGCAAGUCGAACGGAAAGGCCCUGCUUUUGUGGGGUGCUCGAGUGGCGAACGGGUGAGUAACACGUGAGUAACCUGCCCUUGACUUUGGGAUAACUUCAGGAAACUGGGGCUAAUACCGGAUAGGAGCUCCUGCUGCAUGGUGGGGGUUGGAAAGUUUCGGCGGUUGGGGAUGGACUCGCGGCUUAUCAGCUUGUUGGUGGGGUAGUGGCUUACCAAGGCUUUGACGGGUAGCCGGCCUGAGAGGGUGACCGGCCACAUUGGGACUGAGAUACGGCCCAGACUCCUACGGGAGGCAGCAGUGGGGAAUAUUGCCCAAUGGGCGCAAGCCUCAUGCAGCAACGCCGCGUGCGGGAUGACGGCCUUCGGGUUGUAAACCGCUUUCGCCUGUGACGAAGCGUGAGUGACGGUAAUGGGUAAAGAAGCACCGGCUCCCUACGUG